AAAACUUUCAACAACGGAUCUCUUGGUUCUGGCAUCGAUGAAGAACGCAGCGAAAUGCGAUAAGUAAUGUGAAUUGCAGAAUUCAGUGAAUCAUCGAAUCUUUGAACGCACAUUGCGCCCCUUGGCAUUCCGAGGGGCAUACCUGUUCGAGCGUCAUUGCACCCCUCAGGCCUUCCGGCUUGGUGUUG
rnacentral:rRNA from 1 species